GUUCAGAUGAUGAAUGUGUCUGUUCAACUGCUGGAUGAUAAAGAAUGAACUGAAACUUACUCUGAGAGCU